GAUGUGCAAAUCUGAUGAAGAAUCUCACGGAAGAGUUUCAUGAAGGAGAACAAGGCAACAAUCACAUGAUUGAAAACUUGAUUGGUUAAUUAGGACAUGGUUAAUUAUUUCUGCAUCUUUCUUUCUUGAAAGAUGUAAUUUUUGCAGUGUUCAAAGGUGUUAGAAAAGAAAGUUCAAGUUUUAAGUGUCUGAUUUUUGUAGCAGAGACUUUAUGAGGCUAGAAGGCACCUCUCUUAAUUGGUUGUGAUGUCAGACUUCAGAAACAAUGGAAAUAGUGAGAAACAAAGAAGUAUUUCAAGCAAACCAAGCGCGCUCUUGACCUGGGCUUCCUUGGGCAUGGUAUAAGUAGAGAGCCACCAAUUCAGACUAAUGAUAGGACACCAAUUCAGAAUAUAAUGGUAAGCUAUUAGGAGACCGAUUCAGAAUAUAAUGGCCACCAUUCCUUGGGCAUGGUGUAAGUAGAAGUCCCUGCUUUCUUUGUACAGAAUAUAAUGAACACAUAGGACAAUGUUAGGACACCAAUUCAGACCACAUAUAUACAAUUGCUUAAUGUCAUAUAUACACUUGACACCAUGGUUUUUAAGGCGACGCCUUGGCGCCUUAAGGAGGGAGGGCGCUUUGGCGCCUAGGCGACGCCUA